GAGAUUCCCACUGUCCCU
rnacentral:ncRNA from 2 species